GACGAACGCUGGCGGCAUGCCUAACACAUGCAAGUCGAACGGAGAUUAUUUCGGUAAUCUUAGUGGCGAACGGGUGAGUAACGCGUGGGCAACCUGCCCUCUAGAUGGGGACAACAUCCCGAAAGGGGUGCUAAUACCGAAUGUGACAGCAAUCUCGCAUGAGGAUGCUGUGAAAGAUGGCCUCUAUUUAUAAGCUAUCGCUAGAGGAUGGGCCUGCGUCUGAUUAGCUAGUUGGUGGGGUAACGGCCUACCAAGGCGAUGAUCAGUAGCCGGUCUGAGAGGAUGAACGGCCACAUUGGGACUGAGACACGGCCCAGACUCCUACGGGAGGCAGCAGUGGGGAAUCUUCCGCAAUGGGCGAAGGCCUGACGGAGCAAUGCCGCGUGAGUGAUGAAGGAAUUCGUUCCGUAAAGCUCUUUUGUUUAUGACGAAUGUGCAGAUUGUGAACAAUGAUCUGUAAUGACGGUAGUAAACGAAUAAGCCACGGCUAACUACGUG
rnacentral:rRNA from 1 species